rnacentral:tRNA from 1 species
GGCCGAUUAGUUCAGUUGCUUAGAGCGUCGUGCUAAUAACGCGAAGGUCUUGGGUUCGAUCCCCACAUUGGCCA